rnacentral:tRNA from 1 species
GUAAUUAGCUCAGCUGGGAGAGCACCUCCCUUACAAGGAGGGGGUCGGCGGUUCGAUCCCGUCAUCACCCACCA